rnacentral:rRNA from 1 species
GACGAACGCUGGCGGCGUGCCUAAUACAUGCAAGUUGAGCGCUGAAGGUUGGUACUUGUACCAACUGGAUGAGCAGCGAACGGGUGAGUAACGCGUGGGGAAUCUGCCUUUGAGCGGGGGACAACAUUUGGAAACGAAUGCUAAUACCGCAUAAAAACUUUAAACACAAGUUUUAAGUUUGAAAGAUGCAAUUGCAUCACUCAAAGAUGAUCCCGCGUUGUAUUAGCUAGUUGGUGAGGUAAAGGCUCACCAAGGCGAUGAUACAUAGCCGACCUGAGAGGGUGAGCGGCCACAUUGGGACUGAGACACGGCCCAAACUCCUACGGGAGGCAGCAGUAGGGAAUCUUCGGCAAGGGACGGAAGUCUGACCGAGCAACGCCGCGUGAGUGAAGAAGGUUGUCGGAUCGGAAAACUCUGUUGGUAGGGAAGAACGUUGGUGAGAGUGGAAAGCUCAUCAAGUGACGGUAACUACCCAGAAAGGGACGGCUAACUACGUG